rnacentral:rRNA from 1 species
AUUGAACGCUGGCGGCAGGCCUAACACAUGCAAGUCGAACGGUAACAGGAAGAAGCUUGCUUCUUUGCUGACGAGUGGCGGACGGGUGAGUAAUGUCUGGGAAACUGCCUGAUGGAGGGGGAUAACUACUGGAAACGGUAGCUAAUACCGCAUAACGUCGCAAGACCAAAGAGGGGGACCUUCGGGCCUCUUGCCAUCGGAUGUGCCCAGAUGGGAUUAGCUAGUAGGUGGGGUAACGGCUCACCUAGGCGACGAUCCCUAGCUGGUCUGAGAGGAUGACCAGCCACACUGGAACUGAGACACGGUCCAGAGUCCUACGGGAGGCAGCAGUGGGGAAUAUUGCACAAUGGGCGCAAGCCUGAUGCAGCCAUGCCGCGUGUAUGAAGAAGGCCUUCGGGUUGUAAAGUACUUUAAGCGGGGAGGAAGGGAGUAAAGUUCAUACCUUUGCUCAUUGACGUUACCCGCAGAAGAAGCACCGGCUAACUCCGUG